rnacentral:rRNA from 1 species
AUUGAACGCUGGCGGAAUGCUUUACACAUGCAAGUCGAACGGCAGCACGGACUUCGGUCUGGUGGCGAGUGGCGAACGGGUGAGUAAUAUAUCGGAACGUAUCCAAUAAUGGGGGAUAACUAAUCGAAAGGUUGGCUAAUACCGCAUACGUCCUACGGGAGAAAGCUAGGGACCUUCGGGCCUGGCGUUAAUGGAGCGGCCGAUAUCGGAUUAGCUAGUUGGUGAGGUAAAGGCUCACCAAGGCGACGACCCGUAGCUGGUCUGAGGGGACGACCAGCCACACUGGAACUGAGACACGGUCCAGACUCCUACGGGAGGCAGCAGUGGGGAAUUUUGGACAAUGGGCGAAAGCCUGAUCCAGCCAUUCCGCGUGAGUGAAGAAGGCCUUCGGGUUGUAAAGCUCUUUCGCAAGAGAAGAAAACUUACCCUCUAACAUAGGGUGAGGUUGACGGUAUCUUGAUAAGAAGCACCGGCUAACUACGUGCCAGCAGCCGCAGUAA